GCGCGCGCCGAAAGGCGCCCGAGUUCAGUGAGCGCGCGGGGCGGGGCGCGGCGGGGGCGGCGGGGGCGGCGGGGGCGGCAGUUCCCCCACCGAGCACUGCGCCGGGUUCCUCUCCGAGCCCCGCGGCGCAGGUGCAAGCGCACGGCGGGCCUCCGGCAGCGGCUCGCUGCGCCCCGGGCGCGCUCCGUCGGGCGAGCAUCCCGGAGGGCGGCUCGCAGGUGGCGGCGCGGGCCGGCGCGCGGGCGGGGCCGGGCAAGGGGAGGGCUCGGCGCGCGUCGGGCGGUGACGGCAGCGCGGAGGGGAGGCGCGAGCCGCCCGCCCGCGGGGGAGCCAUGGCGAGAGGCCGCGCCGCGGCGCCCGCAUCAGUGCCCCCGUCCGCAGCAGCGCCCCCGCCCGCCGCCCCGGGGCCCGCGCCGUCGCCGUCCCCCCGCGCCCCGAGCCCGUGACGCCCGCGCGCCGCGAGCGAGGCGCCCCCGCGAGAGGGGCCGCGCGGGAGGGAGCGCGGGGCAGCCGGAGCACCCCACGACCCCCGCGCCCCGGAGCCGCGGACCCCGAGCCCGCGAGCGCCAGGUCGGCGGCGGGCGGCGGGAGGAGGGGGCGCCGGAGCCGGGGCCGGAGCCGGGGCCGGAGCCGGAGCCCGCCGCGUGCGCCCCGGUGCCGCCCGGCCGCCUGCUGCGGAGGGAAGCGGAGCCGCCGGGCGGCCGGGGCCCGGCCGAGGACAGCGAAGCGGAGGCAGCCAGCGGAGCCGGGCGCCCGGGAGCCCCGCGCGGGAGGCCCCCGGGGCCGCGCCUGCUCGGGGUAAGACCGGGGUCCGCGCCUCCGGCCCGCGGACGGGGAGGGAGGGACACGCGUGUUCGCGGAGCGUGGGCGCGUGAUGCGGCGGCGGCGGCGGGGGGGGGCCGGCCUCCGGGCCCCCGAGCGGGGAGGAGCCCUCCGGCGUGCACCUGGGGGAGCCCCGCGCGGGGCGCGCCGCGUGGCCUGGAUUGCGGGCUCCGACCUUCAGGGAGCCCCGGGCCCCGCUCACCCGCGCAACUCAUGUGA
rnacentral:lncRNA from 12 species